rnacentral:rRNA from 1 species
CGGCUAACUACGUGCCAGCAGCCGCGGUAAUACGUAGGUCCCGAGCGUUAUCCGGAAUUAUUGGGCGUAAAGGGCACGUAGGCGGACAAAUAAAGUUUGAUGUCAAAUAUGAUGGCUCAACCAUCAAGAGGCGUUGAAAACUGUUUAUCUAGAAUCUCGGAGAGGUAAGUGGAAUUCCAUGUGUAGCGGUGGAAUGCGUAGAUAUAUGGAGGAACACCAAUGGCGAAGGCAGCUUACUGGACGAAGAUUGACGCUGAGGUGCGAAAGCGUGGGUAGCAAACAGGAUUAGAUACCCUGGUAG